ensembl:snoRNA small nucleolar RNA SNORA16B/SNORA16A family
AAAGGCCCCUAUCGAAGCCGUUCAAGCUUAUUGCAGCACCUAGCGGUCAGCAGGCGGCCAUCACUUACACCGACGGUCGCUGUUCAGUUGCCAAAUAACUGCUAUAUUAACAUUAAGGGAAAGGAUAUUA